rnacentral:rRNA from 1 species
AUUGAACGCUGGCGGCAGGCUUAACACAUGCAAGUCGAGCGGGGUGAUGGUGCUUGCACUAUCACUUAGCGGCGGACGGGUGAGUAAUGCUUAGGAAUCUGCCUAUUAGUGGGGGACAACAUCUCGAAAGGGAUGCUAAUACCGCAUACGUCCUACGGGAGAAAGCAGGGGAUCACUUGUGACCUUGCGCUAAUAGAUGAGCCUAAGUCGGAUUAGCUAGUUGGGGGGGUAAAGGCCUACCAAGGCGACGAUCUGUAGCGGGUCUGAGAGGAUGAUCCGCCAAACUGGGACUGAGACACGGCCCAGACUCCUACGGGAGGCAGCAGUGGGGAAUAUUGGACAAUGGGGGGAACCCUGAUCCAGCCAUGCCGCGUGUGCGAAGAAGGCCUUAUGGUUGUAAAGCACUUUAAGCGAGGAGGAGGCUCUUUUGGUUAAUACCCAAGAUGAGUGGACGUUACUCGCAGAAUAAGCACCGGCUAACUCUGUGCCAGCAGCCGCCGUAA